rnacentral:rRNA from 1 species
CAUGAAGUCGGAAUUGCUGUAAUCGCGGAUCAGCAUGCCGCGGUGAAUACGUUCCCGGGCCUCGUACACACCGCCCGUCACACCAUGGGAGCCGGUAAUACCCGAAGUCAGUAGUCCAACCACGUGAGGACGCUGCCGAAGGUAGGAUUGGCGACUGGGGUGAAGUCGUAACAAGGUAUC